GCCGGGGUGGCGGAAUUGGCAGACGCAGGGGACUUAAAAUCCCCUGGCCCUUCCGGGCCGUGCCGGUUCGACCCCGGCCCCCGGCA
rnacentral:tRNA from 1 species